AAGAUUGCCAGCUAUAACAAGCAUCCCAGCUGCAGCAACCAGGACCGACUUGUGCACUCCUCAUCUGAAGUCUUCAUUUCUCUUUUACUCUGCCUCCUCGCUCUUGUCCCCUGCUACCACCGUAGCAGUCAUCCUACAAGUCCCUGUUUUGGUUCACACCUCAAGAUUCUGUGGGCCCUCCUUAUCCAGCCUUUCUGGGGUCUGGGAACUCUCCCAACAUGACCCUUAACCCUCUGAUUCUAAGCAUGGUGGUGCUAGUCACUGCAUGACGCUAGGCUGCCACAGAGCCCAAAUUCCCUGCUGUUCGACUGGCUUUGCAGAAUUUUGACAUGACUUACAGUGUGCAGUUUGGAGAUCUUUGGCCAUCAAUCCGUGUCAGUCUCCUCUCAGAGCAGAAGUAUGGUGCACUGGUCAAUAACUUUGCUGCCUGGGAUCAUGUAAGUGCUAAGCUGGAGCAGCUGAGUGCCAAGGACUUUGUGAAUGAAGCCAUCUCCCACUGGGAACUGCAGUCUGAGGGUGGCCAAUCUGCAGCCCCAUCCCCUGCCUCCUGGGCCUGCAGUCCGAACCUUCGAUGCUUCACUUUUGACAGAGGGGAUAUCAGUCGCUUCCCUCCUGCCAGGUAGGAUCUGGAGCCAUGACUGGAGCGGUCCUGAGUGCCUGCUGGAAGUAGACAUGAUGAGACCCAGCUUGUACCCUCUGUAAUAAGGACCAUAAUAUUGCUAAUAUUUAUGGCAUGUUUAUACAGACUAGGCAUUUUUUGAGGUGCUAUACAUAUGUUAUCUCUUUUUGUUCGGUCAACAGCCUUAUGAAGUAGGUAGUAUUAUUGCUCUUUUACAUUUGGAGAAACU
rnacentral:sRNA from 1 species